rnacentral:rRNA from 1 species
AGAGUUUGAUCCUGGCUCAGGACGAACGCUGGCGGCGUGCUUAACACAUGCAAGUCGAACGAUGAAGCGGUGCUUGCACCGUGGAUUAGUGGCGAACGGGUGAGUAAUACGUGAGUGACCUACCUUUGACUCUGGGAUAAGCCUGGGAAACUGGGUCUAAUACCGGAUACGACCAAUCUCCGCAUGGGGUGUUGGUGGAAAGCGUUAUGGAGUGGUUUUAGAUGGGCUCACGGCCUAUCAGCUUGUUGGUGAGGUAAUGGCUUACCAAGGCGACGACGGGUAGCCGGCCUGAGAGGGUGACCGGCCACACUGGGACUGAGACACGGCCCAGACUCCUACGGGAGGCAGCAGUGGGGAAUAUUGCACAAUGGGCGCAAGCCUGAUGCAGCGACGCCGCGUGGGGGAUGACGGCUUUCGGGUUGUAAACCUCUUUCGGCAUGGAACAAGGCUCCGUGUGUGCGGGGUUGAGGGUACGUGCUAAAGAAGCGCCGGCUAACUACGUGCCAGCAGCCGCGGUAAUACGUAGGGCGCGAGCGUUGUCCGGAAUUAUUGGGCGUAAAGAGCUCGUAGGCGGCUUGUCGCGUCUGCUGUGAAAACGCGGGGCUUAACUCCGCGCGUGCAGUGGGUACGGGCAGGCUGGAGUGCGGUAGGGGUGAUUGGAAUUCCUGGUGUAGCGGUGGAAUGCGCAGAUAUCAGGAAGAACACCGAUGGCGAAGGCAGGUCACUGGGCCGUUACUGACGCUGAGGAGCGAAAGCAUGGGGAGCGAACAGGAUUAGAUACCCUGGUAGUCCAUGCCGUAAACGUUGGGCACUAGGUGUGGGGGACAUUCCACGUUUUCCGCGCCGUAGCUAACGCAUUAAGUGCCCCGCCUGGGGAGUACGGCCGCA